CUGAAGCUGCCAAUCUCAACAGUGUCCAAGUCCGGCUCGGUUUUCGCGGUGAUGGGUGUCGUUCCUUAUCUCUGUCUCCUCCUGUCUUGUCUGGCAGGAGUGCAUUCCGACAUCGUGCUGACCCAGCCCGAGUCAGCGGUGGUAAAGCCCGGGCUGUCCCACAGACUGUCCUGCACAGUCAGCACCUUUGAUAGAAAUGUCUAUGGAAUACACUGGGUGAAAUCGAUCUCCAGGAAAGGGCUGGUGUGGUUGGCUGCAAUAUACUAUGAUGACACUAAAUAUUAUGCACCCGAAGUCCAAGGCCGGUUCACUGUUUCCAAAGACAGCAGUACGGCGUAUCUGCAAAUGACCAGCCUGAAACUGGACGAUACGGCCACCUAUUACUGUGCGAGAUACAGUAAUGAUAUGAAGUACUAUCUUGACUACUGGGGCGGAGGAACCUCGCUGACAGUGACUUCAGAGGUCAAGUCCACACCAUCAGUCUACAUCAUACCUUCCUGCAACACAGAAUCUGACCAAGGCAUCAGGCUCCUCUGUCUGGUCAAGGACUAUCAGCCUGAAAGCAUCAGUCAGACAUGGUCCACUAACAGUGGGGACAUCACCACAGGAAUCAAGAAAUACCCAGCGGUGUUGGGGAAAAAUUCAAAGUACACAAUGAGCAGCUUUCUCGAAGUCUCUGUGGUGGACUGGAAGAAUAAAGUCUAUUACUGCAAGGCAGGGUACAAGCCAAACGAGAUUGUGACAGCAGAGUGGCGGAAACUUCAACCACAACCUCCGAAGCUCAGCUCCCUUGUUCCAUCCCGGGAGGUGAUCCACAGUCAAACAAAUGCUGUCCUGGGCUGUGUGAUAUCUGGAUUCUCUCCUGAAAACAUUCAAGUAUCCUGGAAAAAAGCUGGAUCUGCCCAAGAAGGCAUCGUUCUCCCUUCCUCUCGGAGAUCUGGUGGUGGAUUUGAAACAAUCACUUACCUGACAGUGCCUGUGCAGGAAUGGAAGAAACAGAAAUAUACUUGUGAAGUGAAUCACGCACCUUCUGGUUUCAUUGGUCAGGUCAACAUAACGUAUCAAGAGGAUGAAUGUUCAGAUACCCACCCCUCCGUCACUUUAAGCAAACCUUCCUUUGAAGAGAUCUGGACAAAGAGAUCAGCGACCAUUCUGUGUGAGGUGGUUCACAGUGAUUUACAGGGAUUCAGUGUAACCUGGCAGGUGGACAGAAGGAAGAAGGAAGAUGGGGUGAGGACUCUGGGUCCAGACAGCAAUGGAAGUGAAGACACGAUCACCAGCAGACUGACGGUCCCUGCUGCAGAGUGGAACAGUGGGGCUGAGUUCUCGUGUGUGAUAGAGGACGCGAGUUUGCCAGCACUGGUGAAGAAAUCCAUCAGGAAGGACACAGGUGGUGAUGUGACUCGUCCUCACAUCUACCUCCUCCCCCCAUCAUCGGAUGAGGUAGACACCGAUCAGACUGUGACCUUGAUGUGUCUGGUCACCAAGUUCUCUCCGGCAGAGAUCUAUGUGGCCUGGAUGGCCAAUGACACCCUUCUGAAGACAGGGUUUGUGAACCAGCCGGUGACCAAGGACCCCAGAAAAGGCUGGAACACAAUGACCAGUCAGCUGAAGGUUUCUCCUGAGGAGUGGAAGAGCGGCACCACUUUCUCCUGUGUGGUGGGUCAUGAGUCGCUCACAACCAACCUGUUCCGAAGCAUCAAUAAAUCUCACAGCAAACCCACUCUGGUCAAUGUCUCACUUGUUCUGACUGAUAGUUUUAAAUCUUGUGUGUAACACUGUGAUAUUCAAUCCAUGAAACCCUAGUUUUGUUAGUUUUAUGAUUAUUAAUUAUCAGAAAGGAUUAUUUAGCUCAUUAAAACAUGAAACCUUGGACCUUUUAAAAUAAUUAUGGAUGAAAUUAAGAUCACUAACCAAAUUAAGCUACAAACAUUGUUCCCUACAAAUCUCUGAGUUGCUUGGUAUAUUCUCAGACCUUCUGCCACGUUUGAAUGGAUUUCAACCCUGUCUGGGACUGCAAAAUGUAUUAAAUCUUUGUGUUUGUCAA